AGCAGCCGCGGUAAUUCCAGCUCCAAUAGCGUAUAUUAAAGUUGUUGCAGUUAAAAAGCUCGUAGUUGAAUUUCGAGACCGGCUUACUGGUCGUGCUAUUGUACGUACUGGUAUAAUCGGUUUCUCCUUCCUGAUGAACUGUAAUGCCAUUAAUUUGGUGUUGCAGGGAAUCUGGACUGUUACUUUGAAAAAAU
rnacentral:rRNA from 1 species